UGCUCCUCCGGUUGCUGAUACUUCAUCUACUCGUAGAGAUGAUGAUGCCGUCGACUCUUGAUACAUCGUAGAUUGUGUACUUACGAUUUUGAGAUGAAUGUUUUUAGAUUGUUUUAUUUUUUUUUUUUUUGAUACUUACUAUUGCUUGAUCAAUUGAAGUAUUGAAUUGGCAUCAUCCAGCUAAAAAACAUGCAUUUGUUAGUUAUAGAAAUUUAAGUUGUAUGCCAUAUUUUAGGUGGUUAAUUUUGUUUAAUUUGCUUUAUGAUCACUUUGCAAACUGGCAUUUUCUGAUUGCAAUACAACUUUCUUAUAUGGUUUACAUGGUACUGUUGUGGUAAAUGAAGGUGAUUCAUGUAAUGAUCGAGGUUAGUGUAUGUGCCAGUCUGUAUUCAAUCUUUGAUUUGUAAACCUACUUCACUGAUUGACUUCAGUUUUCUAGAUGGCCUUUGACAUGUGCUCGAUGUUUCCUGUGUUCCACCUGGUGUAGGUUCUGAGAGGCCUUUGCUUCCUUUUGACAAGGUAGAGGAGCAGGAAGACAGGAAGAAGGAUGAGGCUAAGCCUGUCUCCUAUUCAUAUUCCUUCUUCCACCUCAUUUUCUCCCUUGCCAGCAUGUACUCGGCUAUGCUUCUUACUUUCUUGUGCAUGAUUCACUGGCAACAUGCAAAUAUUUGCUGGGUAAACUUUGAUUUCAUUCUCUGAAACUUUAGAUAAUGGGAACAAUUUGUAUUGGGUAAUCCUACUGUUUGCUCGGCCGGAAGGAAGGUAUGCUUUCUUCUGCUUUACAUGUUGGACUGGGAGCCGCAGUUAUUGAAAAUAUUGGGCAGGCUUUUGGUACUAAAAAAACAGCGGCGGUUGUUGCAGUAUGAUCGGGUAUAGAUCUUGGAAAGGACUUUAAUUAGUAUGUUCUAUAUUGACUUGACAGGAACAUGGUUUCAGGACAGGCAGUCCGGCUGGACGACUUGACUCCCACGAUCUAGAUGAGUCUUUGGAGCUGUGGAAUGUGAUAGAGAACCAAACCAUGACGGUCCAGGCACACGAAGG